GAUCAUGGCUCAGGAUGAACGCUAGCUACAGGCUUAACACAUGCAAGUCGAGGGGCAGCAUUUCAGUUUGCUUGCAAACUGAAGAUUGCGACCGGCGCACGGGUGAGUAACACGUAUCCAACCUGCCGAUAACUCCGGGAUAGCCUUUCGAAAGAAAGAUUAAUACCGGAUGGCAUAUGAUUAUCGCAUGAUAAUCCUAUUAAAGAAUUUCGGUUAUCGAUGGGGAUGCG
rnacentral:rRNA from 1 species